CCCAAAAUAGUGUUAUUAUCAGUUGCAACAUGUAAUUUCUAGUUUCUACCCACUGCACAAAAAGAUGGGCCUUCUCAGAGCUAUGCUCCAUCCAUUCCCAGCUGAGGCAGGGUACUCCACUUGAGAUUAAUCUCAAUUCCCACAGACAGUUCCAGAUACCUUCAUUCUCUCCCUUCUUAUGGACGAUCUCUCAAAUGUAGGGAGACUCCUGUGUCUACUGUCUCUCCUUCCAGGUCAUCUUUACCACAACUUUCCACGCCUUCUUUCUUUCCAAGUAAACAAUAAAAGUAUCUGGAGUCAGUCAAGAGGCCUACUGUCCCACUUGGACGUACGUGCAUGUCAGCGGGAAUCAUACUCUUGAGGAAGAGCACAGCUGGGCAAGUGGCAAGCAGAGGGAGAAGGAGAAGCAGGUUCCCCGCUGAGCAGAGAGCCCUAUGUGGGUCUCAACUCCAGGACCCCGGAAAUAUGACCCAAGCCAAGGCAGAUGUCCAAAUGACAACCACCCAGGUGAAAAAUGUCUCUGGCACAAUCUGUACACCCUAAAGAGGCAGUGCCAUGUGAUGGACAGAAUAAAAUCAUCGACCAGUUAGGAGUAGGAGAGCUUAGAUGAGUCUCAAGGCCUCCAAAUACAAUGAGCUUCCUCAGUACAGAAAGACUGCGUCAUCUUGGCAUCUCCUCCAGUGCCUGCAACCUAGCAUGUGCUCAAGAAAGUCAAUCAAGUUGCCUGCUGACUCAUCUGUGACCUCUAUUCAGGCACAACACACCUGCGAGGGCAGGGAACUCAUCUGUCUGGUUCACUGUGGCAGCCCCAGAGCCUCGCACAACGCCUAGCACUCAGUGUACCAAGUGUGCGAUGGGUAAAUGGAUUCUGGAAGAGGCAAAAGAAAGUCAAAGCCGCCAGCAGAAAAGGGGCUGAAGGAGGACAGCUAAAUGGGAAGAUGAAAGAGAAGAGGCUGUCAUCUAGCAUCUGUGAGCAAAUGAAACAGGGCUCUAUGAAAGGCAGUAGGUCUGGGGGAGAAUUCUAUGAGUUUGGUUUAGGCACGUUGAACUUUAGGUCCCUGUGGCAUAUCCAAGCAGAAAUGACUAAUAGGAAGUUGGAGAGCAGGGUCGGGAGAGGGGACAAGGUGAAAUUGGAGCCUUAAGGGUCAUAUCAGCAGAGGAUGAAGUUAGGAUAUGCAGAGGAGGGGUGGACUGUGCUCACA